ACCAUAGAUUUUUUAGGACAAACGAGUUGACCGUUACAGAAUCGUGUGGGAGGAGCCCCGGGAUCCUGUAGGCGCCGCGUCACCGCCACACGGCCCUGCCCCAAAUGUCCCAUGACAACUUCAUUUCUCUUCCAAAGGUCACUGCCAGGAACUCAACUGCUAAAUCUUUGAGAGAGGAGAAAAGUCUACCCCAGAGUCUGCUGCUUUCUGGUUGUAAACAGAGAACCGUGCUCUGCCCGGAAACAAGGGAGCAAAAGAAAUCGUGUGACACACGGAAACCUCUGCAUGGGGGCCCGGGGACACCAAGAACUCAGACCCUCCUCUGGACCAGCCAGGCCGCCCCUGACCUGAAGGAAACACUCUUUCCCAGAGCAAUCUGGAGUCACGCCACUUUCUGAGGCUCACGUUGCUAAAGGACGUUUUGUCCUCAGUCUUUCCACUUUUAGUCACACCUGAGACCUCAGACACGUAGCCAGGCCCGUCUGCCCAUCCACGCCAUCUGUGCACGCCCCUGCCGCCACCCCACUGCAGACACAGUUAUCAAAUGUCGCCGACUUACAGCAAGAGUGGGGGUCUCUGGGCGCCCCCCCCACACCCCAGCAUUUCUGCACACUUUGCAAACAGAGGCACCAAAGAACAGAGAAGAAAAGGACUGAGGAAAAGUGAAGCUCCUCGUGGCCUGUGGGACAAUAGGAAACCGUCCACCAUUCAUGUUGGAGCCUCGGAGAGAGGAGGGGUUCAUACUGGGGCAGGAAAAGGCGAUUUGAAGAAAUAAUGACCAACACUUUCCCUAAUGUGACGAAAACUUUGACUUUUAAUCCAAUAAGCUUAGCAGGAUAAAUACUCCAAGUGGGAUAAAUACAAACAACUCCACACUGAGGCACAUCAUAGUCAAACUGAUGAAACCAGAGAUUAGAGAACAUCCUGGAGGUGGCAGAGCAAAGAGGCAGCUACUAUGGGGCAGUGACAGCGGUGACAGCGACAGGGGAGCCAGAGGAAAGGGAUGAUGCUUUUAAAGAAAAAGGAAAAAAACCCACCAAUCCAGAAUUUCACAUCCAGUGAAAAUAUCUUUUAGAAAAAAAGGUGAAAUAAGGACAUUUUCAGAAAAACCAUCACCAGCAGACCUGCACUCCAAGAAAUGCUGAGGCGGAAGGGGAAUGUACCUGUUGGAAACCUGGAUGCACAGGAGGGGACGGAGGGCUCUGGAAAGUGAGUGGGAAAACUGAAAACAUUCAGCAUAUUUUCCUGUUAAUUUCCAUAAGAGAGAAUGAACUCUUCUAGGGAAAAUGAUAACCCCUUUGGCACAGCCUGUCACAGCAGCUGCAUCACGCUCACCGCCAAAUGCCAGGCUCCCGGUGACGUCUGUGCGGAUGGGACAGAGUUAGUGACUCUCGUCCUGCUGACCCGGAACGGGAAUCUGCUGACCCAACCCAACGUCAACGUGAUAGCUUGUUGAGGAAAGGCCCACAAGGGCUCACAAUCUUGCCUAAGACCUUCUUUCCUUUUUAAUGCACCAGUAGUUAAGCCCCACACCUAUUCUGACAGCUCCCAAGUCCAGAGUGAUCAAGACAAUGACGGGCACGACACAAACACCAGGAAGAACCCGAGGGCAGGCCGCCAGUCAUCAGAACCAGGAGGAAACUGUUGGCAUGAAAUCACCACCUGCGCAGUGACCAGCAGGCCAGCGCUGGUAACUCACCCUACAAGGCGUAACACUCACACGGAGGCGACGGCCCACCCAACCCCAGAAACGUGAAACUUUCGGCAUUCAUGAACGGUGCUUUCUGGCUUUUUAUUUUCUUCAGUAAACAGCUAUUAGAUUAUCACCCACUUCUUUAAAGCGGGAUUUAGCUCGGCAACUUAGUAACCAAAAAUACAGUCAUCUCAGUUUUUGGAACCCACCUGCAUUUCUCCUCUUAGUCCACAAGCAAUCCUGGACACCUCCCAGAAGCACGUGACAUGUGACCCCCAGCCUUAGCACCAGCAGCUUCUCUGGCUCUUGGUCCAUUAAAGCCUUGGAGCUGCAGGGCGUUCUGAGCCCCUCCUGCCCACUGACCUGCUCCUGGGUCUGCCCCCCUCCAGCACUCACCCCCUGAGGGAAGACAGCCAGUCCUGAGCUGUUUAACUUCCUUUCUACACCUUCUGAUGUCCAAGCCACUUCUGCGUGGAUUCAGCGCUACUGCAAGGAGCAUUUGGACUCAGUGGCUUGCAGGACUGCCUCAUGGCUAACGGGAACAUUCUAAACCAACGCAGGUGGACAGCCUCAUUGGUCUGAGCUGCCUGCUGCCAGGCAGAAGCAGACACAGCUACACACCCAGUAAGCAGGGUGACGCGGUGGGGUCGGGUGAGCCACGGCAGCAGGUGAGUGGUGCUGCACAGUCGAGGUGCCCAGGCUGGAGCCAAGUGGCCUGGCUCUGUCUCUGAGUUUCAUCUGGGGCUGGGCCGGGGCCUGGGCUGCCCCUCAGGAAGCCCCUGGGGGAUCCCCGCCCCUCCCCACCCCAAAACCUGGGGAGGAGAGGGGACGAUUCCUCGCUCCACGCAUGCUCACUGAGCAGCACUGAGUGUCAGAGCUGGGCUGGGGGCAGCGGGAGCUCUGGGACCACCAGGUCGGGUGUGGUUUACCGACAUUAGGUGAGGAUCACUGCCUCAUCCGUCUGUCUUAAGCUUCUGAGUCACUACAGGGGAUGGAGUGGGGGCUGGCUCUGGGAACUCACUCUGCAGUGACUCAGUGACCGUGGCCACGCCCACCUCCUCCUCUGACGAAUGUGCUCCAUGGACACACUGGACACACCAUAAACGCUGCAUCCCGGGAAACGCCCGCCUAUGAGUCCUACCUGCUCUCGGCUCCACCGUCUUGUUGGCCCCCUCCUCCAUGAACACAAACCGCCCGCCACCGAAGUCAUCCAGGACCCCUUGAAGUCCGGGACGGGAGGUGGCCGGAUAGUUGUCCCAUCUGUGGAGCUUCAGGACUUACUAUAGCUGGAUCACCAAACCAGGCUACAUUCAGUGUUGUCUUUCCUGAACCCACACUUCCCGGUACAUGGAGGGCUGCUCUUCCUUCGUUGCAGGGAAAUUCUCCGGACUCCGUCCCACGCGUGAGGCUCCUUGCUGUGCGAACCUGUCCUCCACACACGUCGUCUUUGCUCUCAACCCCAUAAAACCCUGUUUUUCCCUCUGCAAUAUCUACGAUGAUCUUAUACUGAAGGUCUCGGUCCUGGUCCCCUAAUGAAAUAAGGCACCUGGGCAAUGGUUAUCAAUGGGUCAAUGGCUGCUAGAGCCAUGAAGUGAGGGUGGACAGGAGGCUUGAUUGUGGAUGGAUCAGACCGAACCCACUGAUCAACCUUAAGCCCAUGGGAAGAGAACAAGCAGACACUGUACUCCCCCUUAGGGUGAAGCCCACACUUCCAACCCGAGUUCCAUCGAGCCCUCCAAGCUGCACUGGCUCAGACAAGCCACUGGCCACAUAAAGCUACUUCAAUUUAAGUUAAUUUAAUUAAAUACUGGGUUCCUCAAUCUCACUAACCACACUUACGUGCUCCCCUCCUCCACUGAGCUCAGACAGUCGAGAUGAAAUAAACACAUGCGUAUCUGACUGAACUUCAGGCAGAAGCCCAACCUGCGAGCUUCUGCCCAAACCCUCUGCUUACUUUUCACUUCGCUUCCUGUGUUCCAGGGUCAAGCGACACAGAGAUUAUCUGGGUCACCUGAGCACACCCGCGGCUGGGGUGACCGCCAACAGCCCUCAGAUGUUUCCGUGGCCAACCGUCCCCUGGCGCCACGCUGCGUGUGCUGGCUGAGUGGGGCGGGGCAGUGGCUGCGAUGCAGGCGGGGGAGGGCUUCAGCUGUGGCUGACCAGGACCGCAGAUUGAUUAGGCGCCACUGUGUCUAGGGAACAGCAAGAGAUCAAGAAAGGGGAAUCUGCAGAAUCUGGAGUGGUCGAGAAAUCUUCCCAAGGAAAGGUGAAAAGUGGGAAGAAGGGGGCCUCCUGGGCAGGGUGCGGGACGCAGGCCCGAGGAGAGACCACACGACAGAAAGGCCAGGUCAAUCGAGGCCGGGUCAGGUUACAUCCGACGAAGCUCACAGCUCAGGUGGAGACAGCUCUGCGUGUGGGAACAAGUAGCAAAGGAGGGUCCCCAUCAGGCCCUCACUGUUCUGUAAUGUGCUUUUCACAGUCUUCUGUCACCUCAUCACACGAGAAACAAAUCUUAUCUCCUCGACCUCACCAGUGAGAGAGGAAACUUCUAGAACCCUGACCACGUGAGCAGACAGCACCCAGCUCGGGCCGUGGUGGACAAGCCCCAGGUUCGCUCACCUUGUCCACGUGCGCGUGCCAGUACUCGUCAUGAGCCGUGCGGGCCGCCGUGCUGUUGAUGCGGGAGAAGAAGGUGGGCUUCGUCAGGCGCAACAAGGACGCGCUGAUGCCAAACGCCUGGGCGAUGGCCAGCUGGACCUUCUGCCGCAGGUCCCUGCCGAGAGGACACAGGUGUCAGCCACACAGGAAAGAAUUCUCCCCGGGCCCAUAGGGCCCGCACCAUGGGACACUGAAACGGAGCAGGACCCUCUGGUCCUUGCCCCCAACCCCCAUGUUCUCAGCCUGCCUUUUGUCUGUGGAAACACUUUAGCCAAAGAAUAAGUUUAAUCAGAGAAGUGAGAAAAUGCAGAAACAAAGGAAAAUAGUCAAACGAGACCAAAUAAUAAUAGUUUAGUCAUUAAGCAAAGUCAAGGACCUUUAGUUCCCCCUCAAGGGCUAUAGAUAAUAUUCUGAGCCAUAUCCUGUGAGCUGUUUUGCAGAUACUGAAGCCCCCACCAGGUUGAAGGAGGAUGACUACAUGAUGACCGAAUUGAAGCCACGACAUAAGCUACUCCACUUCACACAAUUCCGAGAACUGGCCUCAGAGAAAUGGGAACAAACCCUGGAACUAAAGAUUAACUGUACUUAACCAAGAUGAUGCUGGUCAGACCACAUUACUGGUUUCAAGCUGACUGUCAGAACUGACUAUGCUGUUCUCUCCCUCUCUCUGCCUGUAUAACCCUGAAACUCCCCUUUAAAAGCCCCUGUCCCCUGAGCAGCAAUCAGGAGUUGGUUCUCAGACAGGAGUCCACCCUCUCCCCCGGUUGCUGGCCCCUGAAAUAAAGCAACCUUUCCUUCCCCACCAACACUUGUCUCUCAAGAAUUGGCUUUCGAGCAGCGAGCAGCUGGACCUGGGUUCGGUAACACUACAGAAAGACAAGGGCUGGCAAAGGUGAAAGGUGAACAGAUGCACACACAGGUCCGCACACGUGGGACAGGGUAUCACGUGCACACCCAGGAACCUGAGGGCCAGUUCUCUGCAGGACUGACCGCAGCACUCCCAGCCCUGCCGCCACCUUCCCCCUUCCUGACCUGGGCAUUCCUUCCCUCACCGGUACAGCUGGAAGUCCUCUUCUGAGAAGAUAGUUUGUAUUUUAUCCCCAAAGUAUCUGUGAAAA